GACAGAGCAAGAACUCUUAAUGGAGGGUUAUGGCGAGUCCCAAACUUUAAUAAAAACCUCAGGGAACACCUCAAAGGCUGCAAAAGCCAGGAGACAGGGUUGGCAAAAAGUUGCAGACAAAUUAAAUGCAUAAGUAGUGACGGUGUUGGAUGUUUUUAUCACUUAUUACAGUAUAUUUUAUUAUUAUUUUUUUUAAUUUUCAUAAUUACUUUAAACUUUUAUAUUAGAGCCACCACGGGACCCACUAGAACUUGGGAACAAGUAAAGGUGAAAUACAAGAAUAUUCUACAAAAUGUGGAUGUUUGGCAUGGCAAACAAACGCUUUGCCGCUAUAGGUGGCACUGGAGCGCAGAACCAGGAUGUUGGAGUUCUCCUCAGAUGUGCCCUGCAUGUCUCCUGAACUGGAAGCCCACCACAGCAGAGCCCGAGGGACACCACCCUCCCAGGAGCAGGACAGCAUCAGGGGCAGUGAGCUUUUGAUGCUCAAUGAAGAACCCAGUGAUGUCACCAUAUUCCUGAACCAACCACUCCACGUUGACGUUUGUCCUCUGACGCCCACUGUAUAUGAUCUUACUGAUGGUCACAUUGGGAGGUGUUGGGUGCCCUGAAUCAGGAAGGCAUUGAAAUGAACAUGAAUAACAUUCCAGUCAGGUUCGACCAGGUUCCAGCUUGCUGAACAACAUACUUCUUGGGUUUGUCUCCUACGGUCUGCUUUAAGUUGUUGUACCAUGUGUACUUUGUAACUGGAGGGUAAGUUUUACUCAACAUGCAAGUGAGCUGGAUAUCAUUGCCCUCAAAAACAGAAACCACACUCUGCUGAGGCAUCAAGACUGGCUUCUCUGUAAGAGAGAAGUGGUGUAGAAUCUCUUCAUAUAGAAUAGAUAUUGUAAAUGUUAAGAUACUGAUCAAUAUUUCAUCUUUUGAACAUCUUUUGAGUGGUCCGUACCUAGUAUUACCACACAUUUCUUGCUCUCUUUAAUCAGUGGAUGUUUGACAUGACACACAAAGGUUUUGCCAUUGUAUGUGGCACUUGAGCGCAGGAACAAGGUGUUGGAGUUCUCCUCGGGUAAACUCUGCAUGUCUCCUGAACUGGAAGCCCACCACACUAAGGCCAGAGGAACACCACGCUCCCAGUAACAGGACAACAUCAGGAGGAGAGGAAGCAGGAAUGCAGUUAUGGAGAAAUCACGCACCACUAACAGUCUGUUUAUCAUGGUGCCAUGACGCUCAGGAGACCAAUCUGUAUCCACAAUGGCAAAGAAAUUGGC